UACGGAGGAUGCAAGCGUUAUCAGGAAUGAUUGGGCGUAAAGGGUCCGUAGGUGGUGAUGUAUGUCUAUUGUCAAAGGUUCUGGCUUAACCAGAGACAGGCAGUAGAAACUGCAAAACUAGAGUGCAGUCGGGGCAGGGGGAAUUCCUGGUGUAGCGGUGAAAUGCGUAGAGUUCAGGAAGAACACCGGUGGCGAAAGCGCCCUGCUAGGCUGUGACUGACACUGAGGGACGAAAGCUAGGGGAGCGCAUGGG
rnacentral:rRNA from 1 species